UGGCUCAGUUUCCUGGGGGGUGGGCCCAGCCUACUCUACCUCCCCUCAGCUGAGCCUAUAGUAGAGGGGCCAGGCAUCCUCCCCCAUGGGAGAGGCAUUUGAGUAAGGAGCCUUGCCUCUGGUGUCCUAGCUGCACAUUU